AGAUCAGGCCUAACACAUGCAAGUCGAGCGGAAACGAUGGCAGCUUGCUACCAGGCGUCGAGCGGCGGACGGGUGAGUAAUACUUAGGAAUCUACCUAGUAGUGGGGGAUAGCACGGGGAAACUCGUAUUAAUACCGCAUACGUCCUACGGGAGAAAGGGGGCAACUUGUUGCUCUCGCUAUUAGAUGAGCCUAAGUCGGAUUAGCUAGAUGGUGGGGUAAAGGCCUACCAUGGCGACGAUCUGUAGCUGGUCUGAGAGGAUGAUCAGCCACACCGGGACUGAGACACGGCCCGGACUCCUACGGGAGGCAGCAGUGGGGAAUAUUGGACAAUGGGGGAAACCCUGAUCCAGCCAUGCCGCGUGUGUGAAGAAGGCCUUUUGGUUGUAAAGCACUUUAAGCAGUGAAGGAGACCUAACGGUUAAUACCCGUUAGCGAUGACAUUAGCUGCAGAAUAAGCACCGGCUAACUCUGUGCCAGCAGCCGCGGUAAUACAGAGGGUGCAAGCGUUAAUCGGAAUUACUGGGCGUAAAGCGAGCGUAGGUGGCUUGAUAAGUCAGAUGUGAAAUCCCCGGGCUUAACCUGGGAACUGCAUCUGAAACUGUUAGGCUAGAGUAGGUGAGAGGGAAGAAGAAUUUCAGGUGUAGCGGUGAAAUGCGUAGAGAUCUGAAGGAAUACCGAUGGCGAAGGCAGCUUCCUGGCAUCAUACUGACACUGAGGCUCGAAAGCGUGGGUAGCAAACAGGAUUAGAUACCCUGGUAGUCCACGCCGUAAACGAUGUCUACUAGUCGUUGGGUCCCUUGAGGACUUAGUGACGCAGCUAACGCAAUAAGUAGACCGCCUGGGGAGUACGGCCGCAAGGUUAAAACUCAAAUGAAUUGACGGGGGCCCGCACAAGCGGUGGAGCAUGUGGUUUAAUUCGAUGCAACGCGAAGAACCUUACCUGGUCUUGACAUACACAGAAUCUUGUAGAGAUACGAGAGUGCCUUCGGGAAUUGUGAUACAGGUGCUGCGUGGCUGUCGUCAGCUCGUGUCGUGAGAUGUUGGGUUAAGUCCCGCAACGAGCGCAACCCUUGUCCUUAGUUACCAGCGGGUUAAGCCGGGAACUCUAAGGAUACUGCCAGUGACAAACUGGAGGAAGGCGGGGACGACGUCAAGUCAUCAUGGCCCUUACGACCAGGGCUACACACGUGCUACAAUGGUAGGUACAGAGGGCAGCUACACAGCGAUGUGAUGCGAAUCUCAAAAAGCCUAUCGUAGUCCAGAUUGGAGUCUGCAACUCGACUCCAUGAAGUAGGAAUCGCUAGUAAUCGCGGAUCAGAAUGCCGCGGUGA
rnacentral:rRNA from 1 species